GGCAACGCUUUCACACUGCCAAUGAUUCAUCCAGGAGUAGGAAUGAGUCUUGAUCAAUGAGACAUAGGGGAAGUCUGAUGGGUCCCCCGGGAAAGAUUUUCCUUCUUGAAAGAGAAUGAGCCACACAAAGAGAAAGACUUAUUGUCUCCAUUACCCUUGUUUUAUGCUUGGGAUGCUCUCAGUUGCUUGAAGGGUCCAGCCUAUGACCCUGAGACGGACAUUUUGACAUAAUGAAGGUGGCAGAGCAGAAGGAUGGAAAGUGCUUGGGUCCUCCAUGACAUUUCUGGGUCACGAAACUCACCUGGGGACCACCUACCUUCUUGGGUCCAGUGGGGAGACUCCUUCCUGAUCCGGGUGAAUUAUACUUCAUGGACAGCAAUUAAUCCACAAUAACAUCCCUGUCUUGUCUCUUGGCUGUCAGGUCAGAGGUGAAAAAUGAAGUCAGUUCCUUGGAAAGAUGAAAUCACGUACAACAUGAAGAUUUGGGACACAGCGUAAAGGAAGAAUGAAGAGAAAACAAAGGAAG
rnacentral:lncRNA from 1 species